AUGCCUUAAACUUAUGAGUAUAAAAAAUAACAAUUCAGGAUGAUGCCCAAGUCCUUGCCACUAAUGUGAGAUGAAUUUUUGAGUGGGUAAAGGUUGCCCUAAGGUGACCCACCUACUUUGCAGGAUGCCUGGGAGUCACAAUCUGCCUG
rnacentral:snRNA from 1 species